UUGAUAAGCUGCAAGUUGUUUGACUCAUAGUCCUGUACUUUAAAGUCUCUCCAGUCAUUUUGAGAGUUUUAGUUUGAAUUUUAACAAGUCUAUCUGACAUUGCAGAUAUCAGAAGAGGAAAUGGGUAUGGGGAAGGUUACACAGAAACCAUGAAUCACACAUCGUCAAAUAUUAAAAGGAGGUACAUAGCAGCCAUCCCCUAUCCCGAAUGGAUAUAAAACUGUGAGAUUGAGCUGCUAGUAAUGGUAAUUGGAAUAAUAGGAAGAAAUUGCUUCUAGUAAUGGUAACAGGAAUAGCACCUCUUAGUCAUAUGUAGAAACCGAAUCCUUUAUAGAAAUUACUGGUAUGCUUGAAGUAUGCCUCUUAUUGAACAAGCGGUUAAGUAGCUGAUCCAAUCCUAUAAUUUCCUGGACGCAGCAUUGCUUGGUUGCUCCAUGCUUGGAGGGGAAACUUGGCCUUGGUCUCUUUUGGCUGGAAAGUGUUCAUUUGUAUUGAAUAUUUGGUCUCCUUUCUUUGUUCAUCUAACUAUUCCAGAUUAAAAGGCUCAACUUCA